rnacentral:rRNA from 1 species
GAUGAACGCUGGCGGCGUGCCUAAUACAUGCAAGUCGAGCGAACGGACGAGAAGCUUGCUUCUCUGAUGUUAGCGGCGGACGGGUGAGUAACACGUGGAUAACCUACCUAUAAGACUGGGAUAACUUCGGGAAACCGGAGCUAUACCGGAUGAUAUUUUUAACCGCAUGGUUCAAAAGUGAAAGACGGUCUUGCUGUCACUUAUAGAUGGAUCCGCGCUGCAUUAGCUAGUUGGUAAGGUAACGGCUUACCAAGGCAACGAUGCAUAGCCGACCUGAGAGGGUGAUCGGCCACACUGGAACUGAGACACGGUCCAGACUCCUACGGGAGGCAGCAGUAGGGAAUCUUCCGCAAUGGGCGAAAGCCUGACGGAGCAACGCCGCGUGAGUGAUGAAGGUCUUCGGAUCGUAAAACUCUGUUAUUAGGGAAGAACAUAUGUGUAAGUAACUGUGCACAUCUUGACGGUACCUAAUCAGAAAGCCACGGCUAACUACGUG